UCCCUGGUGGCUGAGACGGUAAAGCCUCUGUCUACAAUGCGGGAGCCCCGGGUUCGAGCCCUGGGUUGGGAA
rnacentral:tRNA from 1 species